GAUGAACGCUGGCGGCGUGCUUAACACAUGCAAGUCGAACGAUGAAGCCCAGCUUGCUGGGUGGAUUAGUGGCGAACGGGUGAGUAACACGUGAGUAACCUGCCCUUAACUCUGGGAUAAGCCUGGGAAACUGGGUCUAAUACCGGAUAGGAGCGUCCACCGCAUGGUGGGUGUUGGAAAGAUUUAUCGGUUUUGGAUGGACUCGCGGCCUAUCAGCUUGUUGGUGAGGUAAUGGCUCACCAAGGCGACGACGGGUAGCCGGCCUGAGAGGGUGACCGGCCACACUGGGACUGAGACACGGCCCAGACUCCUACGGGAGGCAGCAGUGGGGAAUAUUGCACAAUGGGCGCAAGCCUGAUGCAGCGACGCCGCGUGAGGGAUGACGGCCUUCGGGUUGUAAACCUCUUUCAGUAGGGGAGAAGCGAAAGUGACGGUACCUGCAGAAGAAGCACCGGCUAACUACGUG
rnacentral:rRNA from 1 species